rnacentral:lncRNA from 1 species
GAAGCUAGCCGCCAUCUCCUCAUACCAAUUUGCUGCUUCUUGCUUCAGCUGCUGUCUCUCUGCUUCAACAUCUCAUCACCUCAGAAAUCUACUGCAAACCCUUUCUAAGGUACCUCUCUCUCUCUCUCUCUCUCUCUGUCUCUCUCUCUCUGAGUUGGCUUGAAUGAUCAUAAACUGCUAGUUUUCUUCUUCUUUGAAAAUGUUAAUAAACUAAGGUUGUUUUAUUGUAAUUCAAAGAUGCAUUCAAAAGCAAUGUUUCCCUGUUUGCAUAGUAAAAACACUCUGGUUAAAAAUUAUAUAUUUCUUUAUGAGUGUAUGUAUAGGGAAAACAGUUGUCUUAAAUUAUUGAAUUUUAUGGAAACCCUAUGAACCAACCCAUAAGCCUCACUUGAUCACAUUGCAUGUGCAAUCCACGUGUCCUAUAUACAAGUUGUCACUUGGCAGUAUGUACCCAACUUAUAUAUAAUAAAACCAAAGUUAUUAUCUUGAUAUGAUUUAUAUCCAUUCCAAUAUGACGUCAAUAAAACUCAGGUCAGUUUGCACAUCAUCAAAAUGCUCAGCCAUUCAUCACCUUUGACUGAUUCAACUUGCAGAUAGGCCCUCAUCAUCCAGAGUGGUUGUUAGCCACAAUUUUUGAAAAUUCCACCAUAGUUUUUUUUUUGUUUCUUCUUUCGAAAAAUCCAGGUGUACUUUUCUGAAAUUUAUUGUCUCUCCACGAAAAAGAUAGUACGGUCGUCGAAUUCUCAUACAAAAAAAUCGAAGAGAUGUCAAGGAAAUAAAUUUCCAACUAUGUUAUCUUUCCUUGAACCCGAGCUUCUUAGGUUUGAUUUUCCUCGACUCCAACAUCGCUGGUAUAAAAAAUAAAAAAUAAAAGAUUUUAAGAAUAUUAUAAGAAGUUUAGUUAUAACUAAAUUGGAAAAGUAUUUAAAUUGUGAACAAGAAAAAGUAUUUAAAUUGGAAAAGCCAUGAGAUGAGUAUCUAGAAUUGUAGAUAAAUAUUUCAAACUCUAGCUCAAUAUAAUAAUAACGAUAUUCAAUGUGGAGGUCACUUGUCAAAGCAUUUAGCCCACUGCAGGUGGGAAAUUAGAAAAGUGGCAGCCAUUUGAUCAUGCGACUUGGAAAGGAAAAUAAUAAUAAUAAUAAAUGCAAAACCCCUGAAGUCAACGUAGUCUUAAUGCUGAGAUUGUCAAUGUGUGACUAAAAUCUAACUGGAAAUAUUCCACAUAGUGAGCAUACAUCAACAUCCUUAACAUCAAUGUUAUUAAUGGAAUCUAACCCCAAAAACAUUUGUCGGCAGAUAAAUAUAUUUCUCAUCAGAUUAGACGCAUGAAUAGAACUUUAUAUUAAAUAUGUUGUCAAUAAUUCAUCGACGCACAUGCUUCUGAUUGUUGAAAAUGGAUUGUUCUCUACUCUGUGUGUUAGAACAAGUACUUUAGGAACAAUUGGGAAUUCAAAUUUUGUGCCGUCGAGGAGCCAGCGCUUGUGUACAACAACAUGAUCGAUUCCAGGAGGAUGUUGAAGCAACCAUGGCAACUUUCAGUGUCCGUUGCCUUCUUUUCCAGCCUGUGCUUCUGGUUUCAGGUGUCCAUGGCUCAAAAUGCCACUACCGAUCCAUCUGAAGGUAAACUAGCCAUGCUUUCCAAAGUCGUACAUAUUUCUAAGCAUCUUUUAAAUACAGAGUAUAUAUAAGUACGUUAUGAUUUCUGGACAGUCUAUUAACAUAAGUACGUUAUGUGAUGUGUACACAACGAUUGAAUUGAGAGUGCAGUGACGGCGUUGAACUCAAUAUUCGAGCAAUGGGACACGCAAGCCGUGCCGGGGCUGUGGAAUAUCAGUGGAGAUCCAUGCAGUGGAUCUGCCGUUAAUGGAACCGACUUUGAGGAUCCAGCUAAUAAUCCAGCCAUAAUUUGUGAUUGUACUUAUGAAAAAAGUACUACCUGCCACAUCACCCAACUGUAUGUUACCCUCCUCCUCUCUCUCUCUCUCUCUCUCUCUCUCUCUCUCCAUACUCCUUAGUCUUGUGUUGUUGACUGUAGCAACUCCAUUAAUUAUGUGUUAGAAAACUAAGCAGAUCAUGCCUGAUAUAUCAAUUGCAUUAUUAAGUGCCUAACUGCUCAAUCUUUUUUCUUUCCAGGAGAGUUUAUGCUCUGAACAAACGAGGGGUGUUUCCACAAGAAUUUGUGGCUUUAAGAUAUCUGACCGUUUUGUAUGAAGUUUUUCCAACCCCAUUCUCUGUUGUUGUGUUUACCAAAAUUAACAUUUGCAUAUAAAAGAGAAAGACACAUGUUUCUUAGUCUUACUGUUCAAAAUUGGCAUGAAUAUUUUUUAUACUCAGAGAUUAAUCGUUGCUCAUUGCACUUUGUUUUAAUUCUUGUAGGAAAAUUGAUCAGAAUUAUUUCACCGGUCCCCUACCAGCGUUCAUCGGCAAUAUGUCCGCGUUGACGUCAUUGUAAGUAGUGAGAGAACAUUUGUUUAAGUUGCAAUACAAAUUUUUAUCUGUCUAAUACUUUGAUGAGACUCAUUCCCUUGUACAAUCUCUAUAAUUGACUUAGAACCCCUUUGAUAACCAUUUCGGUUUUCGGUUUUUAGUUUUCAAUUUUCAAUUUUAAGUUUCCAUUUUUCAUUUUUCAUUUUUCAAAAACUGAAAACUGAAAACUGAAAACUUGUUUGGUAAUUAAUUUCAAUUUUCACAAAAGUGAAAACUGAAAACUGAACACAAGAUAUUUGGUAACUGAAUUAAAUUUUCAGUUUUCAGUUUUAUGUGAAACUUGGAAAUGGAAGUUUUUGGGGUCCAAUUGUGAAUUUAUGAUCAUAGAAUGAAAGUGCAUGUUACAAAAAGUUCGUUGUAUUUUUCGGUGAAUUUUUUUGGAAUUAUGAUGAAUUUUGGAGAUGGAGUUCCUAAGGCUUGGAUUGGGUCCGUGGCCAAGUGCAAGAAUCAAGCAACUGGGUCCAAGUCGGGAGGUCCCAAAUACCAAAUUUUGAUAAUUGGAGUGCAUUCCAUGUGUCGUGAUGUAAAAUUAAUGAAUGAAAUAGGAGCGCAAAACAAAUGAAAAUGAAAACUGAAAUCACUUUCAAGUUCUUUUCAAUAAUAAGGGUUAUUUUGAAAACUAGAUUUCACUUUGAGGUGAUUGGCUUUCCUUUUUGUUUGUGGUCCUGAUAUAUAAGUUGGAACUGUAUUUCUUACAAAUCAAUCAAUUUUGUUGGUUUGUUUCUUCUUUAAGGACAUGAAAUAUAGACCUCCCAAGUGAGUUAUACCAUAUGGUAAAAGCAGCACGUAGUACAUAAAUUUUUUUGUUUUAUCCUAAAUUAUAAACUCGUCCUAAUUUCUUUAAUUGAUAUUUCCAUUCAGGUCAAUUGCCAUCAAUUCAUUCUCUGGGCCCAUCCCCAAGGAGCUUGGAAACCUUACGGAGCUAACUACGCUGUAAGCAAUGAAACAUAAGAAAGCACAAUUAAAUUUUGUGUUCUAGACAAAUGAGAAAUGCUCUAUUGAGACAAGUUCGAUAUAGAACCCCCUAUCAUUUAAUUCUAUACCUCUUCAACAUGACUUGUUGCAGGUCCUUUGGAUCAAAUAAUUUCUCCGGAACACUCCCUCCAGAACUUGGUAACUUAGUCAAGCUCGAGCAAUGGUGAGUGCUUCAUUUAACUCAUCGAAUUUGAAUAGCAUGUUGCAAUGUGUUUUUACCGGUUUAUUUGUUAAUUCAUUAUCGAUGAGAAAGGAGUGCGUUUAUCGUAUGAAAUUGGUACUAACCAGUUUAUGAUUUUCACAGGUACAUGGACAGCUGUGGACUUAGUGGGGAAAUUCCUUCAACAUUUGCUAAGCUCAUCAACAUGCAAAUCCUGUAAAAAUGGCCCUUAAGUGGUGUUUUAAGUUUUUUUUUUUGUUUUUUUUGUUUUUUUUGUUUAUUCAGCACUUUGAGAUUGCUAUUCUGGGAUGAGCUUACUAUGAGUCAACUUUUUGAAUUUUAGCUGGGCAUCAGACAUUGCUUUCUCAGGAAAGAUACCUGCUUUCAUUGGGAAUUGGACAAAACUGACUGUUUUGUAAGUAUGGAAAACUUUUAACCUGCUGCAGUUUAUGAAAGCAGACCUGCAUGGCUGAGAGAUGGGUCUUUUAUUCACAAGCAUCUCAAAUGUUUUUGUAGGAGAUUUCAAGGGAACUCUUUUGAAGGUCCAAUACCAACCAGUUUUUCUCAACUGACUUCAUUGAACACUCUGUAAGGGCAAAUGCUUCAUACAUUUUACUCUUUCUCUCUCUCUCUCUCUCUCUCUCUCUCUCUCUCUCUCUCUCUCUCUCUCUCUCUCACUACACUAGCAUCACUUAUGUUUGUGUAUGAUAAUGCAGGCGAAUCAGUGAUAUAUCUAAUGUGAGCUCCUCUCUUGAUUUUAUAAGAAAUUUGAAGAACUUGACCGAUUUGUAAGUUAACAUUCUCAUCCCUUCAAAUAUCAUGAUAUAACUUCUUUUUUCCUUUUAAAAUUUGCAAUCUUACUCAUUUACCUGUGCACUAAAUUUUUUGGUGGUGGAACAGAGUUCUACGGAAUGCAUUAAUCAAUGGUAGCAUUCCUUCUGAUAUUGGAGAAUAUGAAGGUUUACAGAUACUGUAGGUUCCAGCAGAUAUAUAAGUCCAAAUCUCAAAAAUCCCAAUUAAUUUUCUUUCAUUCUAAUUGCUUUCUAACCUUAUCAUUCAUGUUGCAGGAAUCUGGGUUUCAACAAUUUAACAGGCCAACUCCCAAGUUCUUUGUUCAACAUGAGUUCUCUUACAUACUUGUAAUAAGCACUGCCUUCUUUAUUACAUUUUUCUGUGCUCAGAAACUUAGUCAUUCAUCUGACCUUUUUCUUGUUUCUUUCUUCAUUUUUCCUUCUUUUUCUGGGUGCCUUAUAUUAUAAUUGAAAUGGCCAGGUUUCUUGGAAACAAUAGCCUGUCUGGACCUCUUCCAAGCCAAAAGAGCGAUCAACUUCAGACUAUGUAAGUCCUCAUGUCAUAAAAGUAUGCUAUAUAGAAUGUACUGGCAAUGAAACAAUGAAACAAAUACUCUGUGUGUGUCUGUGUGCAUAUGGGUGUAUCUGUGUACGUGAGAUAAAAUCUCAAUCAGGGCCUCAUCCAUUGAUGAAAACAUUCUAAUCAUUUUUUUUGUUCAAAUUAUUUUGAACUUUCAUACACUUUGUGCCCUCUCAUUCUGUAUUGUUAUGUGCAGUGAUUUGUCUUACAACUAUUUAUCAGGAAGCUUUCCCCAAUGGGUAACCACAAUAUCACAACUGUAUGUCUCCUUUUUAUCUUUCACCUUCAUGUUUACAAUUUAAAUUACCAGAAUUGGUUUGGGCAAAACAUAUCACCAGGAUUUGUUCUUACAGUGCUUCUUUCCUCGAAUAUUCUGCAUAUAUAAUACCCAUAUGAAUGAAAUUCAAUAAAGCUUAAUAUCACAAAACGUCCUUAAGGUUUAAGAAACUAUCAGAUUGCAUCCUUAAUGUUUUUUUUGUGUCAUUUGUGGUCCUUACAAAUAAUGUGUGCGACAGUUUGAAGUGAUGGAUUUGAAGUACUACUAUGUUUAGAUAUUGAACAUGAAAUCUUUAUUUAAUAAACAUGUAUAGCUUCAUAUGUUGAUUGAUUAAUGAUUUUAUGCAGGAACUUAGUGGUCAACAACUUCACAUUUGGGAGUUCAAACAUAACGUGAGUUGAAGUUUCUCUUACCCUUAGUUAGACAGACAAUACUAUCACUACUAGCUAUUACACUCCUUCAGUUUAAUGGAUUCUUCCACUACAUUUUUCCAUCUGGAUAAAUAAUAAUUGUUCUCUUUAUUUGCAGUCUUCCUGGACUGAAUUGCCUCCAGAGGAAUUUUCCAUGCAAUCGAGAUACCCCUCGAUGUAAUCUUCUUUUGUUUCACUAGCCAUUUAUUAAUGCAUUAUCAUGUUACAGGAAUAGGCAUUGCUUCUCUAACUAUGUAUACAUAUUGCAAGAGUGUUUUGAUAUAUCUAGUAAGCAUAUCUGGUUAUAAAUAUGUGAUUCAGAAACAUCAGUAUGAGUCUUGUCUUGAGUUUGAAGUUUUUAUCACUAAUCAUAGCUUGUGCUACUAUAUUCAAUUUUACAGAUGCAAACUUCUCAAUCAAGUGCGGAGGACCACAAAUGAGAGGAAGUGAUGGCAUAUUGUAUGAAGCUGAAGACUCAGCUCUUGGCCCAGCAACAUUUAAUGUAACCAGUACACAGAAAUGGGCUGUUAGCAAUGUGGGUUUGUUUUCUGACAGAAAGAAUCCAUCAUUUGUGGAAACCACCCUUACGCAAGUCACCGGUACAGAUGUGACCCCAGAGCUUUUCCAGACUUCAAGACUGUCCCCAGGUUCACUUAGAUACUAUGGCCUGGGACUUCAGAAUGGACCUUAUACCGUAACGUUGCAAUUUGCAGAAACGGUUUAUGCUAGCCGUGCUACACAAACUUGGCAAAGUUUAGGAAGGCGUGUAUUUGAUAUCUAUAUUCAAGUAAGGCUGCUAAUGAACUAUUUGAAGUAAGGGCAACCUCAUUAGACGAAAUUAUUUAACUAUGUCUUCAUUUGCUUCCUAGGGGAACCUCAGAUGGAAGGACUUCGACAUAUCGAAGGAGGCAGGUGGGGUUAACAGAGCAGUUGGGAAACCCUUCAAGGUUAAUGUGUCAGAGAAUUACCUAGAUAUUCAUCUGUUCUGGGCUGGUAAGGGAACAUGUUGCAUACCUGAACAAGGUGAUUACGGCCCGCUAAUAUCGACUGUCCAUGCUGCUUCAGGUAUAUAAUGUAAUGUUACAUUAUGAAGAUUUCCUAUGAAUGGUUUAAAUGUAUCUUUCUGCUGCUAAUCGAUUGACACUGAACAAUUAUCAAUUAUUCUAUUUCAUUGCUCAGAUUUUACACCGACUGUUUCUGGGCUUCCACCAACUACUCCAGGAAAGAAGAGUAGGAUUGGGUUGAUAGUUGGUAUUGCAGUCCCUGUUGGGGCUGUGAGCUUGCUAUUAUUAUUUGGAGUUCUAUAUAUGAGGAGAAAAAAAUCAGAAAAAGAUGACGAUGAAGGUAAAAGAGCAUAUUAUUAGUGGUUAAUUCUGCAUGCGGUUUUAGAUUCUUUCUCGUGUUGAUAAGCAUGAAGCCUUUGAAAGAAAUUACUUCUUAUGUGUUGUGUGACAUUAACACAAAUUUUAUAGUAGCAUGUAUUGUUUCGAAAUUUAAACGUAUAUCAUACUUUCUUUUGAAUAUGCAGAUCUUCUAGGAUUAGGCCCCCGACCAAAUACUUUCAGUUAUGCUGAGUUGAGAGCUGCAACAGAAGAUUUUAAUCCUUCAAAUAAGCUAGGAGAGGGAGGAUAUGGACCUGUUUAUAAGGUGAAAUCUAUUUUACAUCAAUAUCUGCUACUUUAAAGUAAUGACUUUGACUUCUUACAAAAAGAAAUUGAGAGAGAAGCAAAAUAGAUUCUUUUUACUUCCCUUUCAUGUCACUGAAUUGUAUUUCUGUUUAUAGGGUACACUAUCUGAUGGGAGGGUAGUGGCUGUGAAGCAACUUUCAGUAGCAUCUCACCAAGGGAAGAGUCAAUUUGUAACCGAGAUUGCUACGAUAUCUGCAGUCCAACAUCGCAAUCUAGUGAAAUUGUAUGGAUGCUGCAUCGAAGGAACCCAGCGCAUUUUGGUUUAUGAGUAUCUUGAAAACAAGAGCCUUGAUCAGGCACUUUUUGGUAGGUUUUAUAGAAACAGAAUACUCUGCAGUUUCAAGGACUCUAAAAGUUCAUCCAAGUUUUUUACGCAAACAUUUUGUUAUAAUUUUUCUCUGCUGAGUAGUGAAGUUUAAAGAAACCAAAAGAGUAAUAUUCAAAUCAUAUGAAAUUAAAAACCUGCACAUUCUUUUGCUACUUUGCCUUCCAUUUUGCAAAGAAACAGAAUACUCUGCAGUUUAAAGUACUCUAAGGUUACAUCCAAUUUCUUUUUCUUUUUCUCUUCUACUUGUUAUUAGUUGUUAACAUGCAUUGGUUCUUCUCCAUGUAAUGUUUCAGGAAGAAAUGACUUGCACCUUGACUGGCCUACCCGCUUCAAUAUAUUGUUGGGAACAGCAAGAGGACUUGCUUACCUUCAUGAGGAGUCAAGGCCCAGGAUUGUACAUCGAGAUGUCAAAGCCAGUAAUAUUUUGAUCGAUGGAGAACUCUCCCCAAAAAUAUCAGAUUUUGGAUUGGCAAAGCUUUAUGAUGACGAAAAAACCCACAUUAGCACCCGGGUUGCAGGGACAAUGUAAGCCUCCGUUUAAGUUAUACAUUGUUAAUCGUGACAAGGGUGUAAUCCAAGCAACAUUUUUAGUAACCAUUUCAUGAUCUUGUAGAGGUUAUUUGGCGCCGGAGUAUGCAAUGCGUGGACAUCUGACAGAAAAGGCUGAUGUUUUUGGUUUCGGGGUUGUUGCUUUGGAGAUCCUCAGCGGGAGGCCAAACUCAGACAACAACUUGGAUCCUGAAAAGAUUUAUCUUCUUGAAUGGGUAGGAAAACAAUAUGCCUAGCUACUUUUAUUUUAGCAUUGUUGUGAAAACUUCUUUACUUUUUUCCUUUCUAACCAUGCCAUGCCCAUGAUGUUUGUUUUCAGGCAUGGACUCUACAUGAAAACGACCAGAGUUUGGGGCUGGUGGAUCCGAGAUUGACAGAGUUUGAUGAAAAGGAAGCAACUAGAUUGAUAAAAGCAGCUCUCCUCUGCACUCAGGCAUCACCAAUGAUGAGGCCAUCGAUGUCACGCGUAGUGGCAAUGCUCUCUGGAGAUAUUGAAGCAAGCACUGUUAUUUCAAAGCCAAGUUAUUUGACAGAUUGGGAUUUCAAAGAUGUAACCACGAGUAGCUUUUUGUUGGAUAAUGAUACCCCAUCAACUGAGAGCAAUGUUCAUCCCAACCAUCAGCCUGAAGGGACCACAACUAGUGUUAGCCCCGGGAUUGACCUUUCGCCGUCUCCGGUAAAUGUCACUGAAUCAAUGCUCACUGGCAUUAUAGGAGAAGGCAGGUGAGAACUAAGAAGUUGCCAUUGUCUUGCCCUUGCUGUCAAUAUGUGACUUUUACUGCUAAAACUUUCCUACAUGUUGUACUUUUCUUUGGGUCUUUCUCUGCGUCUAGUUUUUAGCAAUGGUGAUGCAUAUAUAAAAUAAGAUACAAUUUUAUAUAUAUCUGGUUGCCUUCAUCCUCAUCGAAAAAUAAUACAUGUUCAAAAAGAAAUGGAUGUUCCUUUUUCUUUUUGAUAGCACAGUAAAUUUUAAAUAAAGAAAAAACUUUACAUAAGCGCUUAUAAGCAAAAGUCUCGCAAAUUUAGAGACUUUAGUAGCUAAAUAGUAAAUUUCAGCAUAUGUGAACGACUGUGAAAUUGUUUGAUUAAUAAAAUGUCACAACGAACUCAAAUUGAUCCACAAGCAACUCAGCACCAAAGCAAAUCUCAGCAACAGAAAAAUAUGGAAAAACGGUUUUCUAAAGAAAGAAACGUCAAUGAUUCACCAUGUAGGCUUUAGUGGACUAAACAUGUGACGAUUCAUAUGUUGCAAAUGACAAAUAUAAUGGAUACAAUUACAAUGAUGAAUGCAAUUAUGAUGAGGAAUGCGAUUUUGAAGAAUUGACUUAAAUAAUCAACUUUUUUUUCUUGAUUUAGAUUAUAUUUUCAUGAACCAGUUGUAUCAUGUUACGAUCUAAAGGUUAAGCAAUUGAAUCUUCUGAUUUUUAACAACUUUUUCAAAUUGGAAUCGGUCUGAGGAGAGAUACUAUUGAGCAUUGUUUGCAUGUGAAACUCUUUGAACUAUAACCAUGAGCAAAAUUUGUAAAUUGGAACACUGAAUUGUUGGUUUAAAGUUGUUCAUAGUUUAUUGAGUGUAGGGAGAAGCACCAGUUUGACAACAAUAUUUCCCCUGUUUUCUUCUUCCUAAAUUCAACACUGACAACACCAAUAGGCUUCUCAAAAUUCUAUACAAGUCUGAGGAAAAUUUCAAUUGAUCAUUGAUUUGCAUCUCAAACUGUGAAUUUAUAUAAUUCAGUCAAAAGAAAUUUUAUUCAAUGUUGAAAAAUCUUUACAUAGAACACAGACCGAAUUGUGUCUUGGGUCUUGGUUCCAGCUUCCAAGCUGUUCAGAGUUUGCUAGCGAGAGCAAGAUACUUGGUAUGACGGCCCUGAGCUAUAAUUUUGCCUGUCUUCUUCUUCCUUAACUCAACACUGGCAACACCAACAGCCUUCCCAACUCGUAAAGCCUUGGCCUCAACCUCAACUUCCUCACCAGGGUAAGCAGAAUCCAAGUAUGAAACAUUGAUCUCCACUGAAACUCCAACGCUGGGAGUUCCGACGGUGAGGAUUGCAGCUGACCCUAUCAAAUCCACAAGGGUUGCUGUGGCUCCACCAUGCAUAAAAUUGCCUCCAUUCAGCAAACGAGGGGGUACUUUGAAGGAGCAAACAAUACGACCGGGUUCAAGGAGAUCAACUUGAAUGCCUUUCAUGAUAAAGGGCUCAAAGAACUUAUCUGGCAGCCCAUCCAUGGAGAUUGCCAUUUCACCUUCUUUCUCCAAGAACUUCUUCACUGACUCCAUACUUGUUUCCUCAUUUCCUUCUUUCUUCAUUUCAAUUAUUGCAAUCAAUUGAAUAUUAAUCUAUAAAAGGACUUUGUCUGUCUCAGUCUCAACAUAAGAUAACAAUUCUUGAUAAUAAAAAAUAUUAUGCAACUCAGGGGAAGAAAAAAAGAAUCAUACAAGGGCCAAGUUAAAAACUUUAACCUAUGUUUUCAUUUAGACACAUACACACACUAAGGUUCUAAUCUAGAUAGAGCAGUCAAACCAAACCAGCUUCUUAGUCAAUAUUUGCAAGGUGGUUUCAUAUCAUUUUCAUUUUCCUCCUAAAUUUCUCCACAAUCAACCAGAGCUCUGAGCUCUGAGCACUGAGAACCCUAACAUUACAUCCAUAGAGAAAAAAGAGAACUUCGUUUGCACACAAGCAGAUCAAGUCAGAUGCAAAACACAUUCAAGAUCAGGAAAACGGCCAAGCUAACCCAGAAUCCAAAAUCUAGUUACAAACAUGACAAAUUUCCCAAAUAUUUUCUGAGAAACACCUAAAUUGCGAGUUUAUACAAAACCCCAAAUCUAAUCUCAAAUUCCUCUCUAAAAACAAAACCCAGAUCAUCAAUUCCAUUAAAUUUCAGAAACGGAAACAUAAACCAGGGGGAGAGAGCUGAAUCAUACAAAUAGAGAGAAAGAGCUCUGAAUGAUUAACAAAUAGCUAAGAGAAAGAUCAGAACCUCAGGGCAGUGAGCUAUGUCCUUCUCUGACUCAGUGUUGCCUUAGAAAUGCGAGAAGAUGAUAAGAGAUAGGUUUCUUUCAAUUUUGUUGGGUAAAAAGAAGGUUUCUUUCGAAAGUAUAUUUUUGUUACUUAUAAUUUUGACUCAAUUUCGUUUGAAUCCUUGUAGUUUCAAAUAUAGCAAAAGCAAUCUAUUCCUAUGGUUUAUAUGGCAAUUGAAUCCAUCUCUUUCUUUUUUUUUUACUUUUUUUUUUAAAAUUAUUAUUUAUAAACUUGAAAAUCAAUCAUUAAAUUAGGGACCAUGAUGGAUAAUACAAACUAACCAACCAUGAUUUUUUUUUUUUAAACAAAUAAUAUUCUAAAUUAUUAUAAUGUACAAUAAUCGAGUUUAAAGAGAUAAGCACACUCUAUAGACCUAACUUAGGUGCACACCAACACGGAAUUAUUGAAUCAACAUCAUAAAGAAAAAAAAACCCUCAUCACAAGUAAAAGGUGAAUUUCCAAGUCUUUGAGGUUACUUGACAAUGUUUUGGUGAUUUCAAUUCCACCACCAAACUCCUUGAACAGAGGAGAGUGUUAAGAAAAUUUAGUAAACACUUUUAUAGGAGGAAUGCUUGGUUCUAAUUUCUCUAAACUCGUUUGAGUGGCUCAAUUAGCCCACCAGUGGUCUAGUGGUCUAGUGGUCUAGUGGUUAGGUUCAAUUCCUUUAAUAAUAAUAAUAAUAAUAAUAAUAAUAAUAUAUUUUUUGUUUAAGAAAAAGAGAGGAAAAAGCUGUGAGGCCAGUUGUUGAAUAAACAAAUAUUAAUGGUUUGAAGAGUUUGACAGAGACAAGGACUCUAUCCUCUCUGUCUCUCUCGUACCAUUAAGUGAGUGGGAGAAUCGUCUCUUUCACUCUCAUAUUGUUAGGAGAGAGAGAGAGAGAGAGAGAGAGAUAUAUAGAUAGAUCAUGAGAUACAGAAUCAAUGGAGUAAUCUAGCCGCCGGCUCCUCAUACUAAUUUGCUGUUUCUUGCUUCAACAGCUGGCUCUCUGCUUCAAUAUCUCAUCACCUCAGAAAUCUACUGCCAACCCUUUCUAAGGUACCUCUCUUCUCUCUCUCUCUCUCUCUCUCUCUCUCUCUCUGAGUUGGCUUGAAUGAUCAUAAACUGCUAGUUUUCUUCUUUGAAAAUGUUAAUAAAUUAA